rnacentral:rRNA from 1 species
CGAACGGGAGACCUUCGGGUCUCUAGUGGCGAACGGGUGAGUAACACGUAGGGAACCUGCCCGCGCACCGGGAAUACGCUCUGGAAACGGAGAACAAAUCCCGAUGUACAGGAAGGAGGCAUCUUCUUUCUGUGAAACGUCCUUUAGGGGAUGGGGCGCGGAUGGACCUGCGGUGCAUUAGUUGGUUGGCGGGGUAAAGGCCCACCAAGACGAUGAUGCAUAGCCGGCCUGAGAGGGCGGACGGCCACAUUGGGACUGAGACACGGCCCAGACUCCUGCGGGAGGCAGCAGUAGGGAAUUUUCGUCAAUGGGCGCAAGCCUGAACGAGCGAUGCCGCGUGAGUGAAGAAGGCCUUCGGGUCGUAAAGCUCUGUUGCGGGGGAAAAAAGGCAGCAUCAGGAAAUGGGUGCUGACUGAUGGUGCCCCGCCAGAAAGUCACGGCUAACUACGUGCCAGCAGCCGCGGUAAUACGUAGGUGGCGAGCGUUAUCCGGAAUGAUUGGGCGUAAAGGGUGCGCAGGCGGUCCUGCAAGUCUGGAGUGAAACGCAUGAGCUCAACUCAUGCAUGGCUUUGGAAACUGGAGGACUGGAGAGCAGGAGAGGGCGGUGGAACUCCAUGUGUAGCGGUAAAAUGCGUAGAUAUAUGGAAGAACACCAGUGGCGAAGGCGGCCGCCUGGCCUGUUGCUGACGCUGAGGCAC